GACGAACGCUGGCGGCGUGCCUAAUACAUGCAAGUCGAACGCAGUGGGGACGGGUGAGUAACACGUGGGUAACCUCCCAUCAGAGGGGAUAACACUUGGAAACAGGUGCUAAACCGAUACUGAUGGAUGAACCCGCGGUGCAUUAGCUAGUUGGUGAGGUAACGGCUCACCAAGGCCACGAUGCAUAGCAGAUCUGCGAGGGUGAUCGGCAACACUGGGACUGAGAAACGGCCCAGACGCCGACGGGAGGAAGCAGUGGGGAAUCUUGGGCAAUGGACGAAAGUCUGACCGAGCAACGCCGCGUGAGUGAAGAAGGUUUUCGGAUCGUAAAACUCUGUUGUUAGAGAAGCGGUAUCUAAAGAGAAAGCAACGGCUAACUACGUGCCAGCAGCCGCGGUAAUUC
rnacentral:rRNA from 1 species